rnacentral:rRNA from 1 species
GAACGCUGAAGAGAGGAGCUUGCUCUUCUUGGAUGAGUUGCGAACGGGUGAGUAACGCGUAGGUAACCUGCCUUGUAGCGGGGGAUAACUAUUGGAAACGAUAGCUAAUACCGCAUAACAAUGGAUGACACAUGUCAUUUAUUUGAAAGGGGCAAUUGCUCCACUACAAGAUGGACCUGCGUUGUAUUAGCUAGUAGGUGAGGUAACGGCUCACCUAGGCGACGAUACAUAGCCGACCUGAGAGGGUGAUCGGCCACACUGGGACUGAGACACGGCCCAGACUCCUACGGGAGGCAGCAGUAGGGAAUCUUCGGCAAUGGGGGCAACCCUGACCGAGCAACGCCGCGUGAGUGAAGAAGGUUUUCGGAUCGUAAAGCUCUGUUGUAAGUCAAGAACGAGUGUGAGAGUGGAAAGUUCACACUGUGACGGUAGCUUACCAGAAAGGGACGGCUAACUACGUGCCAGCAGCCGCGGUAAUACGUAGGUCCCGAGCGUUGUCCGGAUUUAUUGGGCGUAAAGCGAGCGCAGGCGGUUUGAUAAGUCUGAAGUUAAAGGCUGUGGCUCAACCAUAGUUCGCUUUGGAAACUGUCAAACUUGAGUGCAGAAGGGGAGAGUGGAAUUCCAUGUGUAGCGGUGAAAUGCGUAGAUAUAUGGAGGAACACCGGUGGCGAAAGCGGCUCUCUGGUCUGUAACUGACGCUGAGGCUCGAAAGCGUGGGGAGCGAACAGGAUUAGAUACCCUGGUAGUCCACGCCGUAAACGAUGAGUGCUAGGUGUUGGAUCCUUUCCGGGAUUCAGUGCCGCAGCUAACGCAUUAAGCACUCCGCCUGGGGAGUACGACCGCAAGGUUGAAACUCAAAGGAAUUGACGGGGGCCCGCACAAGCGGUGGAGCAUGUGGUUUAAUUCGAAGCAACGCGAAGAACCUUACCAGGUCUUGACAUCCCGAUGCUAUUUCUAGAGAUAGAAAGUUACUUCGGUACAUCGGUGACAGGUGGUGCAUGGUUGUCGUCAGCUCGUGUCGUGAGAUGUUGGGUUAAGUCCCGCAACGAGCGCAACCCCUAUUGUUAGUUGCCAUCAUUCAGUUGGGCACUCUAGCGAGACUGCCGGUAAUAAACCGGAGGAAGGUGGGGAUGACGUCAAAUCAUCAUGCCCCUUAUGACCUGGGCUACACACGUGCUACAAUGGUUGGUACAACGAGUUGCGAGUCGGUGACGGCAAGCUAAUCUCUUAAAGCCAAUCUCAGUUCGGAUUGUAGGCUGCAACUCGCCUACAUGAAGUCGGAAUCGCUAGUAAUCGCGGAUCAGCACGCCGCGGUGAAUACGUUCCCGGGCCUUGUACACACCGCCCGUCACACCACGAGAGUUUGUAACACCCGAAGUCGGUGAGGUAACCUUUGGAGCCAGCCGC